UAUCUAUCUAUCUAUCUAUAUAUCUAUCUAUCUAUCUGUCUACGGUGGGGGGAGCUGGUAGCUGGGAUGGGUAGGUUAGGGUUGGAUGAGUAGGUAGCUGGGAUGGGUAGGUAGGGUGGGUAUGGUGGGAUAUGUAGGUAGCUGGGAUGGGUAGGUAGGGUGGGAUGGGUAGGUUAGGUUGGAUGAGUUGGUAUGUGGAAUGGGUAGAUAGGAUGGGUAUGGUGGGAUAGGUAGGUAGCUGGGAUGGGUAGGUUAGGGUUGGAUGAGUUGGUAGGUAGGGUAAGGUGGGAUGUGUAAGUACAUAAGGUAGGAUUGGUCGAUAAAGUGGAAAGAAAGAGGAAAUAGAUGAAGAUAGAAAAAGGAAGUUCUGUAAGUAAGAAUGCUGACAGCACAGCG
ensembl:lncRNA